GAUGAAGAACGCAGCGAAAUGCGAAAAGUAGUGUGAAUUGCAGAAUUCAGUGAAUCAUCGAAUCUUUGAACGCACAUUGCGCCCCCUGGUAUUCCGGGGGGCAUGCCUGUUCGAGCGUCAUUUCACCACUCAAGCCUCGCUUGGUAUUGGGCGACGCGGUCCGCCGCGCGCCUCAAAUCGACCGGCUGGGUCUUUCGUCCCCUCAGCGUUGUGGAAACUAUUCGCUAAAGGGUGCCGCGGGAGGCCACGCCGUAAAACAACCCCAUUUCUAAGGUUGACCUCGGAUCAGGUAGGGAUACCCGCUGAACUUAAGCAUAUCAAUAAGCGGAGGA
rnacentral:misc_RNA from 1 species